rnacentral:lncRNA from 1 species
CCGUCGGACCCAAAGACGCUGAAAGUAAAGCCACAGGAGAGUUGGGGCUGGGGAAGCACUGGGGGCAUCUAGAGCCUCUUUUGGGGAGAUGAGAAGAGUUGUGUGUGUACAAUGGUAAAGGCUGCACAAAUGUACUUUAAAAGUGGUGAAUCUUAAUGUGUAUUUUCCCCACUUAAAAAUUUUAAAAAGGAUGAAUCUCAUAAAAAAACAGGUUAAAUAAAGGAAGCUGCAGUUUCUGGUCAUAAAACUCAUGAAGCUGAGCAGCUCAUUCUGCUGUGGGAGCCAAGCUCAUGACUGGGCAGGGCUUACUUUGCCCUCUGUCUCCUAUACUUGGGGAAAGUAAGCUGUGUUUGUUUGAGACAGAGUCUCUCUCACUAUAUAACCCUGGCUGGCCCUGAACUCACAGAGAUCAGCCUGCCUCUGCCUCCUGAAUACUGGGAUUAAAGGCAUGCACCACUAUGCCCAGCAAAAAGUUUUAGAAACAGCUCAUCACUGCUGUUUAGAUCUGAUCUUCUAAAGAGCACUUUCCCCUCUGUGGCUUCGUAUGUGACUCACCAUAUGGACUUCAGUCCUCACUCACCACCAUGUGGCUCAUGAGAAUUUCUUCAUGGGCCCCAUGUGGUCUGCAGACAGAUGCCGGAAGUGGUUCUGGGGGCAGCACAGCCAAGCGAUGUUACAAGUGUGAGCACACACACUAUCGCACCAGGAGACUGGGGAAAACACAUUUGCUUUAAAGAUAAAGUGUUUCUGAGAUGGUGUCCCCAGAAAGUGGGAACACCCCCCCUCCACAUCUGUGGGCUGAAGAGAUGGAACACAGAUGUUCCCAUCGGCCACAGCGACCUGGAAGCUAUUAAUUGGAGGGCAGAUGAGACAGGAGGCUGCAGUCUGUGCUAACUGAGAGCUGUGUGAAGGAGCCCUGCAGGCAGGCCUUCUCUUUGCUGGAGGGGACACAUCAGAUGUGACCAAGGAUCCAGAGGUAAGAGUGGCUUUCUUUUUUUAUCUGUGUUGAUUUGACCUCAGUUCCUGGUGGUUUUGCUCAUGUUCUUGUCUCGGAUUCUGUUACAGUCAUUGUGGCUCCCAUUACUACCGAAGUGACAUUAGUGCCUGAGUGAGGCCUUAGCACACACAGAUACUUGGUUAGCACCAUGCCAAAGUUAGUGCUUGGGCAGUUAGUGUUGAGCCCACAAGGCCAUAGAGAAGUGCUUGCUCAGUGUAUGUGAUGUGUCCUGGUUUAUUUUUGGAAGGGACUCAUUCUUCAAAUGCCACAUGCUAGCUGAAGAUGUAACAGGGAUCUCUGGGACAGAUGUGCCCAGAGGGAAACAUAUGUAAGAGAGGAGACUGUUGCUUUUGGACAGGACACCUGCACAUUCCCCCACAUGUCUGGGAUACCAAGAGUUCAGAUAGAACUCAAAGCCACUGCUUGAGUUGUGACUGUGGGUUGCAGGGUGUGACCACUGCCAUGAGACAGAGCUGCACUGGGAACCUGGGGACGUCAUACCUGGC